GGCGAACUGGUGAGUAACACGUGGGAAACCUGCCCAGAAGCGGGGGAUAACACCUGGAAACAGAUGCUAAUACCGCAUAACAACUUGGACCGCAUGGUCCGAGCUUGAAAGAUGGCUUCGGCUAUCACUUUUGGAUGGUCCCGCGGCGUAUUAGCUAGAUGGUGGGGUAACGGCUCACCAUGGCAAUGAUACGUAGCCGACCUGAGAGGGUAAUCGGCCACAUUGGGACUGAGACACGGCCCAAACUCCUACGGGAGGCAGCAGUAGGGAAUCUUCCACAAUGGACGAAAGUCUGAUGGAGCAACGCCGCGUGAGUGAAGAAGGGUUUCGGCUCGUAAAACUCUGUUGUUAAAGAAGAACAUAUCUGAGAGUAACUGUUCAGGUAUUGACGGUAUUUAACCAGAAAGCCACGGCUAACUACGUGCCAGCAGCCGCGGUAAUACGUAGGUGGCAAGCGUUGUCCGGAUUUAUUGGGCGUAAAGCGAGCGCAGGCGGUUUUUUAAGUCUGAUGUGAAAGCCUUCGGCUCAACCGAAGAAGUGCAUCGGAAACUGGGAAACUUGAGUGCAGAAGAGGACAGUGGAACUCCAUGUGUAGCGGUGAAAUGCGUAGAUAUAUGGAAGAACACCAGUGGCGAAGGCGGCUGUCUGGUCUGUAACUGACGCUGAGGCUCGAAAGUAUGGGUAGCAAACAGGAUUAGAUACCCUGGUAGUCCAUACCGUAAACGAUGAAUGCUAAGUGUUGGAGGGUUUCCGCCCUUCAGUGCUGCAGCUAACGCAUUAAGCAUUCCGCCUGGGGAGUACGGCCGCAAGGCUGAAACUCAAAGGAAUUGACGGGGGCCCGCACAAGCGGUGGAGCAUGUGGUUUAAUUCGAAGCUACGCGAAGAACCUUACCAGGUCUUGACAUACUAUGCAAAUCUAAGAGAUUAGACGUUCCCUUCGGGGACAUGGAUACAGGUGGUGCAUGGUUGUCGUCAGCUCGUGUCGUGAGAUGUUGGGUUAAGUCCCGCAACGAGCGCAACCCUUAUUAUCAGUUGCCAGCAUUAAGUUGGGCACUCUGGUGAGACUGCCGGUGACAAACCGGAGGAAGGUGGGGAUGACGUCAAAUCAUCAUGCCCCUUAUGACCUGGGCUACACACGUGCUACAAUGGAUGGUACAACGAGUUGCGAACUCGCGAGAGUAAGCUAAUCUCUUAAAGCCAUUCUCAGUUCGGAUUGUAGGCUGCAACUCGCCUACAUGAAGUCGGAAUCGCUAGUAAUCGCGGAUCAGCAUGCCGCGGUGAAUACGUUCCCGGGCCUUGUACACACCGCCCGUCACACCAUGAGAGUUUGUAACACCCAAAGUCGGUGG
rnacentral:rRNA from 2 species